AACGUAGGAGACAAACGUUAUCCGGAGUUACUGGGCGUAAAGGGCGUGUAGGCGGUUUGUUAAGUUUGGCGUGAAAGCUCUCGGCUAAACCGGGAGAGGUCGUUGGAUACUGGCAAACUAGAGGACGGUAGAGGCGUGUGGAAUUCCGGGUGUAGUGGUGAAAUGCGUAGAGAUCCGGAGGAACACUAGUGGCGAAAGCGCUCUACUGGGCCAUAACUGACACUGAGGGACGAAAGCUAGGGGAGCGAAAGGG
rnacentral:rRNA from 1 species